UACGUAGGUGGCAAGCGUUGUCCGGAUUUACUGGGCGUAAAGAGCGCGCAGGCGGUCGUUCAAGUCGCGUGUGAAAGCCCCCGGCUCAACUGGGGAGGGUCACGCGAUACUGAUCGACUCGAAGGCAGGAGAGGGAAGUGGAAUUCCCGGUGUAGGGGUGAAAUGCGUAGAUAUCGGGAGGAACACCAGUGGCGAAGGCGGCCUGCUGGGCUGUUGCUGACGCUGAGGCGCGACAGCGUGGGGAGCAAACAGG
rnacentral:rRNA from 1 species